rnacentral:rRNA from 1 species
UUUUGUUGGAGAGUUUGAUCCUGGCUCAGGACGAACGCUGGCGGCGUGCUUAACACAUGCAAGUCGA